AAAGAUAGUUUUUAUUUUAUUUAUUGACUGAUUUUUAUAAAUUUUGUUGGAGUAGAGUUGACUUCCAAUAUUAGUUUCAAAUAUAUAGCAAGGUGAAACAUGGUUUUUUUACAACCUUGAAUGGCAGGUAAUAAAGGAGAAUGAAUCUAAGAGCUGGUAACAAAUCAGAAACAAUGAACACGGCAGCACCAGGCUGUGACAACCUCAAGGGGUCUAACGUACAUGUAACCUGGGUCAUCAAAGGAAAGGGGCAACAGAAGAGCUUGAAGAAAAAAUGUUGCAAAUAUUUCCAAGUUGACUUUAAAAGAUACAAGAAUAUCAUAGGGCCCCAGUGAUAAAAACAUGAAGAAAACUACACCAAGGGACAAAAUAAUCAAUUUGCUCAAAACCAGUGAUACACAGGAAAUCCGCAGGUUAGCCAUUGGGUUGAAAGAAAAAAAUCAUCAAACUAGAACUUUCUACCCAGAAAAAAAAAAAAUCUUUUCAAUGAAGAUAAAUGAAGGCUUUUUCAGAUAUACAAAAAUGAAAAAAGUUAUUGCUAGCAGACCAAACUACAAGAAAUGCGAAAGGAUAGUGGAGGGGCUACUACAUGAGUAAAUAUAUAAAUGUUUUUUCUUAUGAUACAAGGCAAGAAAAAGAAAAAAUACAAAUACGGACUCUAUUUGCAGACAAUACGAUGUAGAAAAUCCAGUGGAAUUGCUAAAAGCACUACCAGAACUACUAAACAAUUUUAGUAAGAAUGCAAAAUAUGAAGUCAAUAUGAAAAACUCAUUUUUUAUAUCAGAGCAAUUAACAACCAGAAAUUGAAAUUAAAAAGUACUAUUUAUAAUUACAUUAAAAUGUUAAAAGUUAAGGAUAUUUCUUAGAGGAAAAAAAGAUGUGAGAGACUUGUACAUUGAAAAUUAUAAAUAUUCCUGAGAGAAAUUAAGGAAUAUCCAAGGAAAUGAAGAUACAUAGCAUGUUCAUGGUUCAGAAGACUUAUUAUUGUUACAAUGAUAAUUUGUCUGAAAUUGAUCUUUUGAUUCAAUAUAAUCUCAAUCAAUAUCCCAGCAGGUGUUUUUGUAGAAAUUGACAAGCUAAUUCUCAAAUUCAGAAUUAAAAUUUUUAAUAAAUUGAAACAUAAGAACAAAGUUGGAAGAUGAAUACUACAGGAUUUCAAAAAUUAUUAUGAUAUGCUACCAAGACUGUGUGGUACUGAUAUCAAAACAGACAGAGGAAUGAAACAUAACGGAAAGCCCAGAAAUAAACCCUACAUAUAAGAACAACUGCUUUCCUACAAAAGUGCAAAGACAGUUCAGCGGUAAAGCGCAGACUGUUCAGUGGCAAAAAACAAUUUAGUGAUAAAAGGCUAGUCCUUUCAACAAACAGUACUGGAAAAAUUAGAUAUCCAUACAGAAAAACAAACAAAACUUCCCUCAAACUUUGUUCCAUAGCUCACACAAUGAACAAAGUAAUUUGAAAUUGAUCAC
rnacentral:lncRNA from 1 species